UACCAGCACCCCGAGUGGUCGGGACGUUUAUUGGGCCUAAAGCAUCCGUAGCCGGUUCUACAAGUCUUCCGUUAAAUCCACCUGCUCGACAGAUGGGCUGCGGAAGAUACUAUGGAGCUAGGAGGCGGGAGAGGCAAGCGGUACUCGAUGGGUAGGGGUAAAAUCCGUUGAUCCAUUGAAGACCACCAGUGGCGAAGGCGGCUUGCCAGAACGCGCUCGACGGUGAGGGAUGAAAGCUGGGGGAGCAAACCGG
rnacentral:rRNA from 1 species